UUUGGCUUGGUUUAAAAAUAUAAUCUUCUAAAUUUGCAAGCAUGAAUUUCUUUUAUAGGAUGGUAUGAAACAAAUUGAGAAAAUCAGAUGUAAUUUCCAGCCAAAGGUGGUAUGUAAAGAGAGGCCUCUCCUGAGGUGAGGUCAGGAGCUCUGAGACAGUCUGCUUCUUUGACUCUGCUUUGUUUCUACUCUCAAGACUUAGGACUCAAAAGGGUCCUGAUAGGCACCAUCAUUCUUGUCCUUCCCUCCACAGUGCCUACUCCCCACUCCCGCAUGACAUCAGAAACAUGCCAUGCUCCACAAGCUGAUCAUACAAUCACAAUUGUAUCUGCCCUACUGCGAUGGAUUUAUGAACAAGAACCAUUGUGUCUGCAGUACAAGGAAGCAACUCCGUUACAGGCUGAACCAAAGGAGGGCCAGACUUCAUGCUGAGGAGCCCCAUUGCCAGAGCGGGAAGGCUUGCUCUGGGGCAGUACCCACCCUAGCAGCCCAGCUCGCUUUGGACAGUGUGUUUCAGGACUUGCAUGAAGACUUCUUUAGUGGCUGGCCUGAUUGUCUCACUUUUCAGUGCAUGAGGGUGGAGAAGCAAUGGUGAGAAUUGAAGGAGUAAAGUUUCAGCAAUCUUUCAAUUAUUCUCUGUUUCUGUUAGCUCUAUCAUUUGUUCCUGGCUUCCACCAUCAUACCUGUUGGCUCCAUUCUGGAUAUUUGGGGAGUCUACCCGCAGGGCAGGUUGGUUCUCUACUCUACUCUAGUCCUCCCCAUGUAUCUCCUGUUUCUUCCCCCAAAAUUUUCGAUCCACUUUUACUUUUCUAGAAAAAUAUUUAAAAUCUCUUAUCUAGGAAUGAGUCGUCCUCCUCUCUGUCACUUGUGAGCCAUAGAAGGCAACAGUUAAGAGGCAUCUUUUAUAUCGGUAGCCAGGGAGGAGGUAUUAAUAUUAGAGGGUCCUAUCAGAGAGACUCUCUGCCCCCAUUAGAGAGAGCCAGCACCAUUCAGCCACCGAUGCAAUCUUCGAUAGUAUCGGUCACCUGAGACUUCUGUGUACUUGUAUUCAGUUCCCUGGAUACAGUUUUGUAGUCCAAAACUGGAAGAGCCAUUGCUAGCCAAGUGAGGUGAUGGCAGAGAAGAGGAGGAAAAGCAUAUGGUGGGGAAGUGAACGAAGGACUGACCAUGGUCCUCCAUUCCUCAUAAUGGGUGCUCAGCCUGUUGUUGGCUGGAACCGAAGCAAGGAGGGAGCUGUAAACUUGAACAAAGUUUCAAGGUUUACUCUUACCUAGGACUAGGCAUUUUAAUUACUAAAAUUAGACAUUGUAUUCAGACUUAGAAAGGAUUUUUAUUAUCUAAGAGUGACUGGAAAAAAUGAGACCUGCUUGACUGUUCACAUAGUGUAAAGGGGCAGUUUAGACCACAGAGUAGAUUGUAAAGGACCAUGACCAAAUCUUCACUCACUGACUUUUAAGCUAAGUGUCAAGAAUGUUUUCCUUUUAGUAGAUGUUUUAUGAUGACAGCGUUUUGGUGGAUUUGCUUAUAAUUUUGCUUCUUGAGAAAAAUUUUCAAAUAUCUUUGGAUGAUCUGUGAAGGAACAAUUCUUUUUUUUUUUUUUUAAAGAUUGGCACCUGAGCUAACAUCUGUUGCCCCUCUUCUUCUUCUUUUUUCUUCUUCUCCCCAAAGCCCCCCAGUACGUAGUUGUAUGUUCUAUUUGUAGGUCCUUCUGGUUGUGGCAUGAGGGAUGCCACCUCAACAUUGCCUGAUGAGCAAUGCAAUGUCCACACCCAGGAUCCAAACCAGGGAAACCCUGGGCCACCAAAGCAGAGCAGGAGAACUUAACCACCUGGCCACGGGCUGGCCCCGGAACAAUUCUUUAAGAUAAGGCAUCUUUUUUUCUAAUGUUCUAUUUGUAUGAUAAUCUGAUGGUGCUUAUGCACAUGUACAAACUAUCAGAGGAGAAAUGUCUUGACUCAUAGCUUAAAAAAAUAAACAUAAUUUCAAAUAUUACUAUGAAAUUGAA
rnacentral:lncRNA from 1 species